rnacentral:rRNA from 1 species
AGCGAACGCUGGCGGCAGGCCUAACACAUGCAAGUCGAACGAACUCUUCGGAGUUAGUGGCGGACGGGUGAGUAACACGUGGGAACGUGCCUUUUGGUUCGGAAUAACUCAGGGAAACUUGUGCUAAUACCGAAUGUGCCCUUCGGGGGAAAGAUUUAUCGCCAUUAGAGCGGCCCGCGUCUGAUUAGCUAGUUGGUGAGGUAACGGCUCACCAAGGCGACGAUCAGUAGCUGGUCUGAGAGGAUGACCAGCCACACUGGGACUGAGACACGGCCCAGACUCCCACGGGAGGCAGCAGUGGGGAAUCUUACGCAAUGGGCGAAAGCCUGACGCAGCCAUGCCGCGUGAAUGAUGAAGGUCUUAGGAUUGUAAAAUUCUUUCACCGGGGACGAUAAUGACGGUACCCGGAGAAGAAGCCCCGGCUAACUUCGUG